GGUACUUAUUAGAUACAGAGCCAUUCGUUUAACGAUUACUUGGUGAGUCAUAAUAAUUUAUCGAAUCGUACGGUUACUUACCGACGAUGGGUCAUUCAAAUUUCUGCCCUAUCAGCUGUGAUGUUAGUGUAUUGUACUAACAUGGCUUAAACGGGUGACGGAGGAUUAGGGUCUGAUUCCGGAGAGGGAGCCUGAGAAACGGCUACCACUUCCAAGGAAGGCAGCAGGCGCGUAAAUUACCCAAUCCCAAUACGGGGAGGUAGUGACAAGAAAUAACAAUACCGGGCUUUUACAAGUCUGGUAAUUGGAAUGAGUACAAUGUAAAACCCUUAACGAGGAUCUAUUGGAGGGCAAGUCUGGUGCCAGCAGCCGCGGUAAUACCAGCUCCAAAAGCGUAUAUUAAAGUUGUUGCAGUUAAAAAGCUCGUAGUUGGAUUUGUGGGUUUGCGCUUGGUUCAAUUUUGAUACCGUAGCGUGGACCCAUCCUUGGGUGGAACCUGUGUGGCAUUAGGUUGUCGUGCAGGGGGAUGCCCAUCGUUUACUGUGAAAAAAUCAGCGCGUUCAAAGCAGGCUUAUG
rnacentral:rRNA from 1 species